rfam:Stegodyphus mimosarum contig114900, whole genome shotgun sequence.
GCCUUCGUGGUGUAGUGGUCUGCAUGAUCGACGCGUAACCGAGAGGUCCGUGGUUCGAUUCCCGGCGAAGGCG